UCUGUGUGUGUGUGUGUGUGUGUGUGUGUGUGUGUGUGUGUGUGUGUGUGUGUGUGUGUGUGUGUGUGUGUGUGUGUGUGUGUGUGUGUGUGUGUGUGUGUGUGUGUGUGUGUGUGUGUGUGCAGCUCCAUCAUGGGCUUCAUCAGUAAGGAGAGGGAGAAGGCUCUGCUCAGUGAUAAGUGUCCCGGGACCUUCCUGCUCAGGUUCAGUGAGAGCAGCAGAGAGGGAGCCUUCACCUUUACCUGGAUGGAAUACGACCUCUGCAGUGAGUGAAGGACUGAUGCUGUUCAUGUCUUAUGUAAAGGAAGAAUGUGAGACUCUUUGAUCCAGUAGAUAUCUCCCUUUAGCACCAGCAUUAAACCAGAAACAUACAAUAUGCCCAGAUAGGUCGUGCUGUGCUACCCCCAAAACUUUCCGCUCAGUAUCUGACAUUUUCUGAUAUUUAAAUUGAAGAACAGUUUCCUACUCCCUCUCUCUCUCUUUCACUCUGUGGAGCCGUACACGAAGAAGGAGCUGUCGGCCGUCUCUCUGCUCGACAUCAUCCGUACCUACAAAGUGAUGGCUGCCGAGAACAUCCCCGAGAACCCGCUCCGCUUCCUCUACCCCAACAUCCCAAAAGACAAGGCCUUCGGGAAAUACUACCCCAAACCCACAGAGACUCAGGAGCCCAUGGAUGUGGAGAACAAUCCAGAGAGGAGCAGCUACAUGAAGACAGAGCUCAUUUCUGUCUCUGAAGUGUGAGCAGAGAAUGUCACCUUUUAAACACAAAAUAACAAAAUAUUUUAUUGGUAAUGCAUUGAGCAGAUUUAAUGUGGAUUUGCUUUCUGUUCAGAGAUCCGUCCAGACUGCAGGACAACAUGUUGCCCAUGUCUCCUGAUGACUACAGGGCUUUGUCACAGUUAGUCGGCCCCAGAGACAUUGAUGCUGUGACCAACAAUCUGCUUGGAUUUGAAGAGCUUGAUGUUCAGGUAGAGGCAGCCUCAGUUUGUUGCUCUACACUGAAUAGUGCAUCAGCUUAAGUGUCAUUUUCUUUAUGUGUUGUU